CCGAAGGAGACAGACGGGGCAAAGGACAAGAGGUCACAGUAGACUAACUCGGAGGAAUACGACAGAAGAAAAUGGCAAAGAAAAGGCUCCUAGAUGGCGAAAAGAGAGGCGGAGGUUCCGGGACUAACCUAGAUCGCUCUGAGAGAUGCAGAGGGGCGAGGACAGGGAUGACUCGAAGGGCACCUAUGUCCCAAGGGAGACGCCAAGAGAGAUAGGGCACUCGAAGAAAGGGCGGAUACCGCUAGAAUUCUGAAGCGGAAUAAGGGCCCCAAAGGCGGAAGGACAGGUUUAUAUAGACCCU
rnacentral:lncRNA from 1 species